rnacentral:rRNA from 1 species
UACGUAGGGGGCGAGCGUUGUCCGAAUUUACUGGGCGUAAAGAGCACGUAGGCGGGUUCUUAAGUGAGAGGUGAAAGGUUCAGGGCUCAACCCGAACAGUGCCUUUCAUACUGGGAGCCUUGAGUGUGGGAGAGGCGAGUGGAAUUUCUGGUGUAGCGGUGAAAUGCGUAGAUAUCAGAAGGAACACCCAUGGCGAAGGCAGCUCGCUGGCCUACAACUGACGCUGAGGCGCGAAAGCGUGGGGAGCAAACAGG